rnacentral:misc_RNA from 1 species
GAAAUGCGAUAAGUAAUGUGAAUUGCAGAAUUCAGUGAAUCAUCGAAUCUUUGAACGCACCUUGCGCUCCUUAGUAUUCCUUGGAGCAUGCCUGUUUGAGUAUCAUGAAAUCUUCAAAGUAAAUCUUUUGUUAACUCAAUUGGUUUCUACUUUGGUAUUGGAGGUCUUUGCAGCUUCACACCUGCUCCUCUUUGUUCAUUAGCUGGAUCUCAGUGUUAUGCUUGGUUCCACUCGGCGUGAUAAGUUAUCUAUCGCUGAGGACACUGUAAAAGGUGGCCAAGGUAAAUGCAGAUGAACCGCUUCUAAUAGUCCAUUGACUUGGACAAUACUUUUAUGAUCUGAUCUCAAAUCAGGUAGGACUACCCGCUGAACUUAAGC